rnacentral:rRNA from 1 species
GUAACGCGUAUACAAUCUGCCUUUAAGCGGGGAAUAGCCCAUGGAAACGUGGAUUAAUACCCCAUAGUAUGUAGACUUCACCUGGAGACUACAUUAAACAUUUAUGGCUUAAAGAUGAGUAUGCGUCCUAUUAGUUAGUUGGUAAGGUAACGGCUUACCAAGACCGCGAUAGGUAGGGGUCCUGAGAGGGAGAUCCCCCACACUGGUACUGAGACACGGACCAGACUCCUACGGGAGGCAGCAGUGAGGAAUAUUGGACAAUGGAGGCAACUCUGAUCCAGCCAUGCCGCGUGCAGGAAGACGGCCCUAUGGGUUGUAAACUGCUUUUAUACGGGAAGAACCACAUCUACGUGUAGAUGCUUGACGGUACCGUAUGAAUAAGGACCGGCUAACUCCGUGCCAGCAGCCGCGGUAAUACGGAGGGUCCAAGCGUUAUCCGGAAUCAUUGGGUUUAAAGGGUCCGUAGGCGGAAUAAUAAGUCAGUGGUGAAAGUCUGCAGCUCAACUGUAGAAUUGCCAUUGAUACUGUUAUUCUUGAAUUAUUAUGAAGUGGUUGGAAUGAGUAGUGUAGCGGUGAAAUGCAUAGAUAUUACUCAGAACACCUAUUGCGAAGGCAGAUCACUAAUAAUAUAUUGACGCUGAGGGACGAAAGCGUAGGUAGCGAACAGGAUUAGAUACCCUGGUAGUCUACGCCGUAAACGAUGGUUACUA